GACGAACGCUGGCGGCGUGCUUAACACAUGCAAGUCGAACGGAGAGGCCCUGCUUUUGUGGGGUGCUCGAGUGGCGAACGGGUGAGUAACACGUGAGUAACCUGCCCUUGACUUUGGGAUAACUUCAGGAAACUGGGGCUAAUACCGGAUAGGAGCCCCUGCUGCAUGGUGGGGGUUGGAAAGUCUCGGCGGUUGGGGAUGGACUCGCGGCUUAUCAGCUUGUUGGUGGGGUAGUGGCUUACCAAGGCUUUGACGGGUAGCCGGCCUGGGAGGGUGACCGGCCACAUUGGGCCUGAGGUACGGCCCAGACUCCUACGGGGGGCAGCAGUGGGGAAUAUUGCACAAUGGGCGGAAGCCGGAUGCAGCAACUCCGCGUGCGGGAGGACGGCCUUCGGGUUGUAAACCGCUUUCGCCUGUGACGAAGCGUGAGUGACGGUACUGGGUAAAGAAGCACCGGCUAACUACGU
rnacentral:rRNA from 1 species